UACGGGGGGGGCAAGCGUUGUUCGGAAUUACUGGGCGUAAAGGGCUCGUAGGCGGCCAACUAAGUCAGACGUGAAAUCCCUCGGCUUAACCGGGGAACUGCGUCUGAUACUGGAUGGCUUGAGGUUGGGAGAGGGAUGCGGAAUUCCAGGUGUAGCGGUGAAAUGCGUAGAUAUCAUUUGGAACGCCAAUGGUGAAAACAGGUAGCUGGGAGUGUGCUGACGCUGAGACACGAAAGCCAGGGGAGCGAACGGG
rnacentral:rRNA from 1 species